GUAUUUGACAACAGGGCCGUGGGCUCCAGCUGGCUUGGUGGGAGGAGGAGGAGUCCCCUGCAGAUGCUCCACGACCUGGACCAGAUGCUGAGAGAGCAGAAGCCCAUGGCUCAGCAGCAACACACCAGUCACCGUCAUCCUCUGGAUUUUGACUUCUGUCAGAGACCUGCUGCCUCAUGGCUUUGAGAUGACUGCCAGGGCUCCAGACAGCUACACAUAGGACAGUACCCAAGCAGAAAGGAAGGGGGUGGGGCAAAGGGUUUUUUCCUUCCAGAGACUUUACUUUUUGUCCUGAAGGAAAGUCUUUCCUGGGAGCCAUCCUGCAGACCUCCCCUCACAUCUACCUGGCCAGAAGCAGGCCACAUGCCCGAUUCUGGACCCAGUGCUUUCAUGAAGGUGUGUGAGGUUGCUGUGACAGGUUCUUCCCUGAGGCUGGACACACAGCCUAACACAACUGUGGUCUGCUGGCAAGGAGGAGGGUGACAGACACAGGAGUGGCCAAAUGUUUCUGCCAGAAGAUGGGUGGGUGGUUUGGAUGGUGAAAGCAAAUCUUGGCCGUGGGGCCCCUGGACACAGCCUGCUCCGGGAACCCAGGCAGAGCCAGGCUUCCAUGGCCAAACCUUGAGUCAGUGCCUCAGAGGUGGGAGCAGGACUCUGAUGUUCCCAGGCCUCCUACAACCCUAGCUGGAUGUAGCAGCGCCCAUGACGUUACGUGGAAGAGUAAUUCGGGCAUGUGGCUGUGCUUCCUGCCUGGCCCUGCGGAGCGUUCACGGCUCCAACAUGACUUCUGAUACUUAGUCAAAAUCUCUUCUACAACCAUGUAGGUCCUCGUUUUCCUCUGCUUAAACUUUUCAUUUUGGAAAAUCAAACAUGCACAGAAGUAGUGAGAAUAAACGAACCUCGAUGUUCCCCAUCCAGUCUGAAUGGUGACCAGCUCUCCAGUCUUGUCCCAUCAGACCCUCUCCCCCCAACUCCUACCUGGCAUUAUUUUGAAGCAAAUCCCAGCUGUGCUGAUUUUGUGACUAUUCUGGUACAGAUCUCAGAGACUCCUUGCAACCUGUCCUUUUUGAAACAUUUUUUAUACCUUUCCCCACCCUUUUAAACCCGGUGUGUAACAUGUCAAAUUCUAUUC
rnacentral:lncRNA from 1 species